CCGAGACCCUUGACUUUGAAUUUCCGUCUCUUGCGGCGGCGGGAAAGCUUCCGCUAGCUCCGGGAUGAAGCUCCACUAAUCCUGCAUCCGCAGACAGCAUCCCUUUCCUAGUCGAGUUAUUCAGGUCUCUGUAUGGGGAACAGCCACAGAUCACAAGGGUGGAAUGAAGAUGGCUAAUUGGGAGUGUCGACUGAAAACUGCACCACCUAAAAGUUGAGAAUUAUGUUUUAUUCAGCGGACAGACUGAGGACUUAAGCCCGGAGACAGCCUCUCACAUAGCUCUGAGGGAUUUCUCCAAAGAGAUUCCAGGGCCAGGAUGGGCCCUCCGUGCCACCUGCCACAGCGCAGCUAGCCCCUCACGGGCACCAGGGCAGGGAGCUGCCACUGACAAAGGGCACCUGCCGGCCCUGCUGGGAGACCCCUCCUCACCCUCGCUGUGGACAGGGCCAGAUAUCAAAGAGGAGAGUGUGGGAAGGCAAAGGAAAAAGACAAAGCCGUCAGGCUGCCCUGCGCUGAGAACAAAUUAAGCCGGCUUAGGAAUAGUUCUUUCAAUUAUGUCCCAGCGAGAGAAAACGUAUGAGGAGGAGCCAAUGCUUGCAACUAGGAGGAGCUGGCCGACCCCAGAGGCAGCCUCGUGUCUACAGGAGGACGGCUGCAAGAACUCUCCGAAUCCCCUGCCAAACCCGGGGACACAGCUGCAGCCCCUCCAGCCAGCCCGGAGAGUGUGAUGGGGGACUGAAGCCCAGACAGAAGAGGAACCUGCUCAAGGUCGCCUGCCCAGUAAGGAGCAGAGCUGGGAUUUGUCCUCUUACACCCUUGGCACAGCACUGCCCCCAGAGCCUGGGACAACACACCUCCUGACUCCCCAUGCCCGGAUGCCGCACCUGGAAGGCAGGAGUGGAAACCUCUUCUGGUUGAGGUUAUCAGGGAAAGCUGGCUAGAGAAAGAGGCAUGUGGGACAGGCCUUGAAGGCUGUGUAGGAUUUCAGUGGUCAGAGAUAAAUGAGGUACAGGGAGAAGCGGACAAAUGCACGAGAAAAGCCUGUUCGGGGCAGUGAAUAAGCCCAGUACCGGGAGUUGCAGGGGAACUGAGCAGGGAAGCGGUGGGCCAGAGUGGGAAGGGCUUGAGCGUUGCAGACAUGGCAGAUCCAAUGUCGGUUCCGCAUCUGGGCUUCGCUCCCACUGCUGCCUGAGAUCUCUCAUGUCUGUGAACGGUGGCAGCUCCCGAAUUUCCACAGGAGGGUUGCCCUGGCCUCCACCUGCCCUUCAGCGCUGCCACUGUCUGUGGGGAGGGUUCUGUGCCCAGACUCACCCUAACCAAGGGCCGGUACCUCGGAGCAUCCAGGGCCAGGCAGGCCGGGUUCAGAGGGGUCUGAGCGCCUGCGUGGGGUUCAGUUCCCCUCCUCUGCCUUCCUUCCCUCACGCUCUCCUUGCUGGGAGCUGGGGUGUAGACAGGUGUGUAGUGGCACAGGUAACAGCAAAGGUAAAAAAUAAAAGCCAGCUGUGCGUGGGCAAAUUGGGAAAAACAAGGAAGGUUAGAAAACGUGGUGUCCGGGGUCUGCACGGGGACCUGCGGAGGGCUGGGCGCGGCCCGGGUCCAGAUUUCCUGAAGAUGGAAUUUCGGGGAGCAGGUGUGAUCCUGGACUGAUAACGUGGCGGGCAGUUCUGGGGGUGGAUGGGGCUCAGGGGCAGCCCUGAGAAAUGUAACUCAGCUGUCUGUGCUUGAGGGGCGGUAGCGUACAAGAACCAGGAAUGGAAGAGGAGAGGGCCCUGGAAGCUCACCUCCAGUCAUCUGGCGUCGACACCAUAGCCUUGUGCCGCCGUGGGCAGAAAACCUCUCGCUUUGAUGAACUUGUCAUAAAGUAAUA